rnacentral:lncRNA from 1 species
UGGAAUGGAACCAUUGAGGAACCCCAUUUUGUUUUUGGAGACAAGGGCCAUGCGAAAUGACUGAGAUCAUGAAUGAUAAUUGUUGCCAACGAGGGCUGGAGCAACAAGGACGGAGGAGGGAGUUUCACUAGGGUGGAUGUGAUAUGGACUAGAAGGAUUUUGGGUGAGGUCUGAUGGGGGAUUUGAAGAAUUUUCAUCGGACCCUAAAUUGGACGUGUUAGAAGCUGAGCCUGACAUUUCAGAGAAUGGCUCUUGAUAUCAUAAAAGGAAAAGACAGAAAGAAUAUAUUGGAAUAAAAAUGUAUAUCUAUUGAUGAAAAAAAUGCAGCAUAUAUACUGCUACAACAUGUGGAUAAGAACGAAUAAAAGAGAGUAACUGCUUUACAGCUCAUCAUAUUCUAGAAGAAUGCUAGCUGUUAUUCAACUAUUUCUGUAAUGCAAAAAUAUGAAGUAGCAGAG